CGCUGAGCAUGCGAGGUCCCGAGUGCGCAGGCCACAGCACUGUCUGCACAACCAGGCCGCACAACACUCUAGAGGAAAGUGUGCAGUUUAUUAUUGCUAACUUGGAGCAUACAGGAUUUUAGAAGAUGGCAGCCAGUAACGCAGCAAUUAUUGAAGAGAUUGAAGCACUACAAGCAAUUAUGCCAGAUGAAGUAACAGUAUUGCAAGGACACAGUGGAAUGCCUGAUGGUGUGGAGGUGACUGUUGUCCCCGCAACUGGACAGAAUAUCGAAGACACAUGUGAGAGUAACUCUUGUGCUGUCUUUGCCAC
rnacentral:misc_RNA from 1 species